rnacentral:tRNA from 1 species
ACUUAUUUAGUAUAAAUAGUAUAUUAAGCCUCCAACUUUAAGGUUUAUAAAUAAAAUAAGUA